AUGCGUAAUAAACGCCUGGAUGUUUCACACAUUCCAGCUCUCGGGCCGCGCCCGCCUCCUCAUCCUCCUCCGGACCUCUGGGGCUGUUCCGAGGCGGGCUCUGCGAGUGGCCCUCCGGCCAUAAAAAGGGUCCCCAGAGCUCAUCUCGGGGAGUCUCAGCUCGGUGCUGCGGCUGCUCGUCCUCCUGCCAUGGCCUGCACUGCCAGCGCCCCGGCCGCGCCUGCCCACUCUCACUUCUGGGAGAUGCUGUCGCUGCUGGCCCGGGAGCCGGGUAUGGAGUGGCUGGAGCUGAGCCUUGCUGGGCAGGCUGUCACCUCCCCUCCUCGCAGCCGGGAAGCACCGAGGAGCGGAAGAGAGAUGACUUAUCAUCAGCAGCAUUCCUUGGGACCUUGGCCUCUGAAGACUUUGUCGUUGCUGGAGCGCUCAGGAGACAGUAGGCUUUGGCAAGCCUACCUCGAAGGAUUGAGGAAAUUCCUUGUCUUUAGGGAAAUCAUGGGAAUGCCUGCAGCCUGGCCAAUUCCAGUGGAGCAAAUUAGAGGAUUUUUGGCUGUGGAAUCUAAUUUUUCUGCCUCGAAGACACUCAUAUACAUGGCAGCACUUUCUUAUUUAUCAAAAUUGACUUGUAGCUCUGAUCCUCUGCAAGAUCCUAUAACCUGUUGCAUGGUGACGGGGUUGAAACGUCGAGUGGGUAUCCCGAGGGAUAUAUACUUGCCUGUAACAAUUGAGAUAUUGCGAUCUCUCUUAGGAGCUCUGGAGUCUGUGUGCAUAACUCAUUAUGAAUGCUUACUGUUUCGUGCAUUAUUUACUGUAGCUUUUUUUGGGGCACUUCGAAUAGGAGAGAUGGUGGCAAAGCACCGUAAUGUACUGCAGCCGGAGCUGCUGUAUCUGAGUGAUAUCCAGCUGAUGGCGAGGAAAGUGCUGCUUUUUCUGCCUUACUCUCCUGUGGAUCAGGAGAGGCAUGUCAUCAGCCUGGCGCUGUCCGGAGAGCCGUGGGUGUGCCCCGUCCUGGCCCUCCGGAGCUAUUUGACAGCUCGCUCACAGCAGGAAGGGCCAUUGUUCGUGCACUCGGACUUGAGGUCUGUAACGAAGAGGGAGUUCCUGGCCGUUCUCCGAUGUGCCCUGAGCCUGCUGGGGCUGUGUCCGGAGCAGUUCGGCGUGCAUUCCUUCUGGAUGGGGACUGCCGUCACCGCUGCGCGCUGCGGGUAUCCUGGGGAAGAUGUCACUCGCCUGGCAAGAUGGCCCUGUAUGAUCCCAGGAAGAUUCUAACCACGGGCACCAGCAGGAAAAUAGAAGCUAGCGAAUCAUCUUCUUUAUGUAGAGUCAACUUUAGCUGUAUAGUUUAGAAGCUAAUCAAUCAUUCUCUUUAUGUAGAGUCAACUUCAGCUGUAUAGUUUAGAAGCUAAUCAAUCAUCCUCUUUAUGUAGAGUCAACUUUAGCCUUUGACAAGAAUUUAGUAUUAACACUUGAAAUUAAUUUUCUACCUCACAGUGGGGUGAUCCUAAGUUCACUCAGAACUUGUUUGUUCUGUCUGUAUUUGAAGGGAGGGGGAAUGUUUAACCUUUGUGCACAGACACAUUUUAUCUUUUAAUAUUAGUAUUUUUAUCUUGUAUAUUUAUAUUUUUAUCUUUAUUAUCUUGAGGUAAUAAAUACUGCCUUUUAAAAAACA
ensembl:lncRNA